rnacentral:rRNA from 1 species
CUACGGGCGGCUGCAGUGGGGAAUAUUGGACAAUGGGGGAAACCCUGAUCCAGCAAUGCCGCGUGUGUGAAGAAGGCCUGCGGGUUGUAAAGCACUUUCGGUUGGGAGGACUGCUUCUAGCACUAAUAUUGUUGGAAGUUGACGUUACCUUCAGAAGAAGCACCGGCUAACUCCGUGCCAGCAGCCGCGGUAAUACGGAGGGUGCAGGCGUUAAUCGGAAUUACUGGGCGUAAAGCGCGCGUAGGCGGCUAGAUCAGUCGGGUGUGAAAGCCCCGGGCUUAACCUGGGAACUGCAUCCGAUACUGUCUAGCUUGAGUACAGGAGAGGAGAGUGGAAUUCCACAUGUAGCGGUGAAAUGCGUAGAUACGUGGAGGAACACCAAUGGCGAAGGCAGCUCUCUGGCCUGAUACUGACGCUGAGGUGCGAAAGCGUGGGGAGCAAACAGGAUUAGAUACCCCCGUAGUC